UACGGGGGGAGCAAGCGUUGUUCGGAUUUACUGGGCGUAAAGGGCGCGUAGGCGGUCGUGACAAGUCACUUGUGAAAUCUCCGGGCUUAACUCGGAACGGUCAAGUGAUACUGUCGGACUAGAGUACAGAAGGGGCAACUGGAAUUCUCGGUGUAGCGGUGAAAUGCGUAGAUAUCGAGAGGAACACCUGCGGCGAAGGCGGGUUGCUGGGCUAACACUGACGCUCAGGCACGAAAGCGUGGGGAGCAAACAGG
rnacentral:rRNA from 1 species